AUACGUAGGGUGCUAGCGUUAAUCGGAAUUACUGGGCGUAAAGCGUGCGCAGGUGGUUUUGUAAGUCAGAUGUGAAAUCCCCGGGCUUAACCUGGGAACUGCGUUUGAAACUGCAAGGCUAGAGUGUGGCAGAGGGGGGUGGAAUUCCGCGUGUAGCAGUGAAAUGCGUAGAGAUGUGGAGGAACACCGAUGGCGAAGGCAGCCCCCUGGGUCAGCACUGACGCUCAGGCACGAAAGCAUGGGGAGCAAACAGGAUUAGAUACCCCGGUAGUCC
rnacentral:rRNA from 1 species